UACGUAGGGUCCGAGCGUUGUCCGGAAUUAUUGGGCGUAAAGAGCUCGUAGGCGGCUUGUUGCGUCGUCCGUGAAAACCCGCAGCUCAACUGCGGGCUUGCGGUUGAUACGGGCGGGCUAGAGUUCGGUAGGGGAGACUGGAAUUCCUGGUGUAGCGGUGAAAUGCGCAGAUAUCAGGAGGAACACCGGUGGCGAAGGCGGGUCUCUGGGCCGAUACUGACGCUGAGGAGCGAAAGCGUGGGGAGCGAACAGG
rnacentral:rRNA from 1 species